rnacentral:rRNA from 1 species
UGGGGAAUUUUGGACAAUGGGGGAAACCCUGAUCCAGCCAUUCCGCGUGAGUGAAGAAGGCCUUCGGGUUGUAAAGCUCUUUCGCAAGGAAAGAAAACUCACAUCAUAAUACGGUGUGAGGUUGACGGUACCUUGAUAAGAAGCACCGGCUAACUACGUGCCAGCAGCCGCGGUAAUACGUAGGGUGCGAGCGUUAAUCGGAAUUACUGGGCGUAAAGCGUGCGCAGGCGGUUUGAAAAGUCAGAUGUGAAAUCCCUGGGCUCAACCUAGGAACUGCGUUUGAAACUCUCAAGCUAGAGUAUAGGAGAGGGGGGUAGAAUUCCACGUGUAGCAGUGAAAUGCGUAGAGAUGUGGAGGAAUACCAAUGGCGAAGGCAGCCCCCUGGCCUAAUACUGACGCUCAUGCACGAAAGCGUGGGGAGCAAACAGG